rnacentral:tRNA from 1 species
GCCUAGGUGGCUCAAUGGUUGAGCAUCUGCCUUUGGCUCAGGUUGUGCUCCUGGGAUUUUGGGAUCAAGUCCCACAUCAGGCU